AGCGAACGCUGGCGGCAGGCUUAACACAUGCAAGUCGAGCGGGCAUCCUUGUGGUGUCAGCGGCAGACGGGUGAGUAACGCGUGGGAACGUGCCCUUCGGUUCGGAAUAACUCAGGGAAACUUGAGCUAAUACCGGAUACGUGCGAGAGCAGAAAGGUUUAUCUGCCGAAGGAUCGGCCCGCGUCUGAUUAGCUAGUUGGUGAGGUUAUGGCUCACCAAGGCGACGAUCAGUAGCUGGUCUGAGAGGAUGAUCAGCCACACUGGGACUGAGACACGGCCCAGACUCCUACGGGAGGCAGCAGUGGUGAAUAUUGGACAAUGGGGGCAACCCUGAUCCAGCCAUGCCGCGUGAGUGAUGACGGCCUUAGGGUUGUAAAGCUCUUUUCUCCGGGACGAUAAUGACGGUACCGGAGGAAUAAGCCCCGGCUAACUUCGUG
rnacentral:rRNA from 1 species